GCUAGUGUGGCGUAGUGGUUUGACAGUUGGACUGUGACUCUGGAGAUCAGGGUUCAAUUCCCAGCUCAGCC